UACGUAGGGCGCAAGCGUUAUCCGGAAUUAUUGGGCGUAAAGAGCUCGUAGGCGGUUUGUCGCGUCUGCCGUGAAAGUCCGGGGCUCAACUCCGGAUCUGCGGUGGGUACGGGCAGACUAGAGUGAUGUAGGGGAGACUGGAAUUCCUGGUGUAGCGGUGAAAUGCGCAGAUAUCAGGAGGAACACCGAAGGCGAAGGCAGGUCUCUGGGCAUUAACUGACGCUGAGGAGCGAAAGCAUGGGGAGCGAACAGG
rnacentral:rRNA from 1 species